rnacentral:rRNA from 1 species
UACGGAGGGUGCGAGCGUUGUCCGGAAUCACUGGGCGUAAAGGGCGCGUAGGCGGUCCGGCGCGUCCGGGGUGAAAGCCUCCAGCUUAACUGGAGAAGUGCCCCGGAUACGGCCGGACUCGAGUGGGGUAGGGGCGUGUGGAACUUCCGGUGGAGCGGUGAAAUGCGUAGAUAUCGGAAGGAACGCCGGUGGCGAAAGCGGCACGCUGGACCCCUUCUGACGCUGAGGCGCGAAAGCCAGGGGAGCGAACGGG